rnacentral:rRNA from 1 species
UGAGUAACCUGCCCUUGACUCUGGGAUAAGCACUGGAAACGGUGUCUAAUACCGGAUACGAGCUUCAGCCGCAUGGCUAGGAGUUGGAAAGAAUUUCGGUUUGGGAUGGACUCGCGGCCUAUCAGCUAGUUGGUGAGGUAAUGGCUCACCAAGGCGACGACGGGUAGCCGGCCUGAGAGGGUGACCGGCCACACUGGGACUGAGACACGGCCCAGACUCCGUACGGGAGCAG